GGGCGAUCUCGGGUACUAAGGGGUCAUCCGGGUUUGGGUCGCACAGCAGAGAGCAGAUGGACAGGAGGACUGGAAUGGACCAGGUGAAGAAGUUUCUACCAUGAAAGACACACAGCGGAAGUCACAGCGUCGUGGAGAUGGACAACGCACUUUAAAGGCUGUUGAGAGAUAAGCGAACAACAAGAAUAUCGAGGCAGAGACACAGGUGGCGGGAUGUUACAGGGAGAGCUUUGAACUGCUGGUAGCACAAGACACUCUUAAAACAGACCACAGACUUCAUGGGCUGCGUACAGUCCGCACACAGACAGCAGUUAUAUACUGCUAAAUUUCAAUAACUUAAUAAAUAAACAAACAUGCAACAGUU